CAGCANGUAAUGGUGGGAACUNCNGGGAGNCUGCCNNUGAUAANNCGGAGGAAGGUGGGGACGACGUCAAGUCAUCAUGGCCCUUACGAGUAGGGCUACACACGUGCUACAAUGGCGCAUACAGAGGNCNGCCAACCAGCGAUGGUGAGCGAAUCCCAAAAAGUGCGUCGUAGUCCGGAUUGGAGUCUGCAACUCGACUCCAUGAAGUCGGAAUCGCUAGUAAUCGUGAAUCAGAAUGUCACGGUGAAUACGUUCCCGGGCCUUGUACACACCGNNCNUCNCACCAUGGGAGUGGGCUGCAAAAGAAGUGGGUAGUU
rnacentral:rRNA from 1 species